CAAAGUGCUCACAGUGCAGGUAGUAAACGUUCAUCUACUGCAGUUUGUGCACUUGGGGU
ensembl:miRNA